AUAACAAUACAGGACUCAUUAGAGGCCCUGUAAUUGUAAUGAGUCCACUUGAAAUCCUUUAACUCUGAUCAAUUGGAGGGCAAGUCUGGUGCAGAACGACUGACCCGUGCGUGCUGCAGCUAAAA
rnacentral:rRNA from 1 species